rnacentral:rRNA from 1 species
GACGAACGCUGGCGGCGUGCUUAACACAUGCAAGUCGAGCGGUAAGGCCCUUUGGGGUACACGAGCGGCGAACAGGUGAGUAACACGUGAGUAAUCUGCCUUUGGCUUGGGAAUAACUUCGGGAAAUCGGGGCUAAUGCCUGAUGUUUACUGUCUGCUGCAUGGUGGGUGGUGGAAAGUAUUUUUUGGCCAGGGAUGAGCUCGCGGUCUAUCAGCUUGUUGGUGGGGUAAUGGCUUACCAAGGCUUUGACGGGUAGCCGGCCUGAGAGGGUGUUCGGCCACACUGGGACUGAGACACGGCCCAGACUCCUACGGGAGGCAGCAGGUGGGGAAUAUUGCGCAAUGGGCGUAAGCCUGACGCAGCGACGCCGCGUGGGGAUGAAGGCC